rnacentral:rRNA from 1 species
AAUCAACGCUGGCGGCGUGCCUCAGACAUGCAAGUCGGACGCACCGCAAGGUGAGUGGCGCACGGGUGAGUAACACGUGGGAAUGUAUCCUUUGGUUCGGAAUAACGUCUGGAAACGGACGCUAAUACCGGAUGAGCCCUUAGGGGGAAAGAUUUAUCGCCGAAGGGGCAGCCCGCGUCUGAUUAGGUAGUUGGUGGAGUAAAGGCCUACCAAGCCGACGAUCAGUAGCUGGUCUGAGAGGAUGAUCAGCCACACUGGGACUGAGACACGGCCCAGACUCCUACGGGAGGCAGCAGUGGGGAAUAUUGGACAAUGGGCGCAAGCCUGAUCCAGCCAUGCCGCGUGAGUGAUGAAGGCCUUCGGGUUGUAAAGCUCUUUCGCACACGACGAUGAUGACGGUGGUGUGAGAAGAAGCCCCGGCUAACUUCGUGCCAGCCGCCGCAGUAACAC